rnacentral:rRNA from 1 species
AUGUUCGAGAAAUUUGGUGAAGAGCUGUAUAAAUGUGGCGCACAUGUGUUGGAUGAGAUUGUACCGAGAAAGAUUUACAAAUCAACACAUGUAGAUGCGGCGGCAAGAGAAAAAUGGAGUAAGGUAGAGUUCAAGAUUGAAGUGAAUGAUGACGAGAGUUUUUUUAGUUGCGAAUGUGGCACAUUUGAACACUCUGGCUUGGUGUGUUGCCAUGCAUUGCAGGUUAUGGUGUUGGUCCGUCUGUCGAAGAUACCCGAGAAACAUAUAAUGAAACGACGGACAAGAGAUGCACGAGAUGUUCUUCCUGCACAUUUGGUACGGUACCAAAGAGACAGAGGCCCUCCUUCUAGUGACACAUUCAGGCAUCACACAAUGUACAUGAAGGCGCUUGAAUGUGUGUUGCUUGGUGAUAGUAAUGUUAAGUGCUAUGAUGUUUUCAUGGCUAUGAUGAAGGAGGUGCAAGCCGCUCUGGUGCCGUUAAGCAGUGAUAAGGAUGGCAUGGGACUAGCCGAAAGGGAACAACAAAAUCAGUUGCUUGUUCAGAACCAGCAAGAGGCACUCGAGUUGCAAGGCUGUGCGACAAGGUCUGAGUGUGAUGGUGAAUCAAGUUGUUCAGUGAUUGUAGGACAGCAGAACAAACGGCCGAGGGGUAGACCUACAGCAAGCCGUGACAAAGCUCCGUAUGAAGAACAUUUGAAGAGAUCGCGGUUCUGCACGAUCUGCAGGGGUCAGGGCCACAAAUGCACAACUUGCCCAGAGAGAGGCGAUCUGCCCAAGGCGCCAAGGAAAUUGCCAAAGUGUUCAAAUUGUGGUGUGCUUGGACACAGGCGCAAUGCUUGUGGCACCAAGAAAUCUGGACCGUUCGAGCCCAAUUUUCUGUAA